CAAUGUUGCUGCUAAGAGUACGGCUAACGGAAAGUUCACCAUCAAAUGAAACAUCGCAGAAUUUACAAGACACAUAGAGUAACUCAACCAGUUCUGAUGGUAAGUCAAUGGCACAAACGAUGGAAUUAGUUAAAGAAUCAUCACACCUUUUUGGGAUGCUUGCAGUUCGAAUCCAUGCUUGCACGGGACAUGCUUUGGAAAUGGGACAGAAUAUCAUUGCUUUUGUCCGUCUGGAUACACUGGGAGAAAAUGCGAAACAACUAUAAACGCAUGUAUAUCUAAUCCAUGUGAGAGAGGCGUAUGCUACCACUAUCAUAAACGAUUCCGUUGUGUCUGCCCUGCAGGCUACUCUGGCAAACUCUGCGAAAUAGAUAACAACGAAUGUUUCUCACAGCCAUGUUUGAACGGGGGGAUUUGUAUUGAUGAAAUAGCGGACUUCUCGUGCAAUUGCACAUCAGGAUUUACCGGAGAUCAUUGUCAGACAGACACCGAUGAAUGUUCACCAAGCCCUUGCCUCAAUGGUGGCGUAUGUAAAGACGGCAUAAACCGAUAUGUCUGUCAGUGUCCGAGAGGGUAUGGUGGUGACAUUUGUCAAAAGGUGACUAAUCCGUGUAAACACAACCCUUGUGUCAGAGGUACGUGCUUUGCUCAUUUGUCGCAAUUCAUCUGCGAGUGUCCUUCAGGAUAUACUGGAAAACUCUGUGAAACUACCAUACAACUGACACUCUAUGGACCUAAGGAGGUGUUCAUCACGUUACCGGCUGGGAACCAGUUGAACUUAAACUGUAGUGUUUCUCAUAGAGGGUACUAUGAUACCUAUUUCAAAUGGUCAAAGAGAAGAUACUGUGGUGGAUCCUUCAGCUCACAUAGUCGUUUGUAUUAUAUAUUCUUUUUUAACCUCAUCA
rnacentral:lncRNA from 1 species